GGCUCCUUGAACUAAAAAUUAAUAAGGAGUCGGACCUGCCCAGUGAAAUUUUUUAACGGCCGCGGUACUCUGACCGUGCAAAGGUAGCAUAAUCAUUUGCCUUAUAAUUGAAGGCUAGUAUGAAUGGUUUGACAAGAAUACAACUGUCUCUUUAUAAUUUGUUAGAAUUUUAUUUUAAGGUGCAGAAGCCUUAAUGAAAUUGAUAGACAAGAAGACCCUAUCGAGCUUUAAAAAAUUUAAUAGAUUUUAUUUUAUAUGAUUAGAAAAUUAACUAAUAAAAAUUUUGGUUGGGGCGACUAAGGAACAAACAAAGCUUCCUUUAAUACAAAUAGACAUACAAGUUUUGAUCCAAAACUUUUGAUUAAAGAAAUUAGUUACCGUAGGGAUAACAGCAUUAUCUUUUUUGAGAGCUCUUAUCGAAAAAAAGGUUUGUGACCUCGAUGUUGGACCAGAAUAUCCUAAAGAUGCAGAAGUCUUUAAGGGUUGGUCUGUUCGACCAUUAAAAUUCU
rnacentral:rRNA from 1 species